GCAGUAGCCGCGGGAAAACGAAGGGUGCAAGCGUUACUCAGAAUUACUGGGCGUAAAGCGUGCGUAGGUGGUGGUUUAAGUCCGUUGUGAAAGCCCUGGGCUCAACCUGGGAAUUGCAGUGGAUACUGGGUCACUAGAGUGUGGUAGAGGAUAGUGGAAUUUCCGGUGUAGCAGUGAAAUGCGUAGAGAUCGGAAGGAACAUCUGUGGCGAAGGCGACUAUCUGGGCCAACACUGACACUGAGGCACGAAAGCGUGGGGAGCAAACAGGAUUAGAUACCCGUGUAGUCCCUGUCUCUUAUAC
rnacentral:rRNA from 1 species